rnacentral:misc_RNA from 1 species
UUUUUUUUUUUUUUUUUUUACUUAGUGAUACUAGUGCAGUUUCACAUUUUAUAUGGCAUUCAUAUGUAUGGGUUGCAUUUGUAAUUUGUAAUUGGCUUUGUUGUUUUCCCUGUUGUAAUCAUUCUCUUAAAAGCAAUAUCAGACUAUCUACGUGGAGAGCUCAUUUUCUUUAUCUGGUAGUAGUGUUUUGCUGAGCACAAUCUGGUGUAUGCUUGUU